UACGAAGGGUGCAAACGUUGCUCGGAAUUAUUGGGCGUAAAGCGCACGUAGGCGGCUCCGCAAGUCGGAUGUGAAAUCCCUCGGCUCAACCAAGGAAGUGCAUCCGAAACUGCAGAGCUUGAGUACUUAAGAGGAUCGCGGAAUUCCCGGUGUAGAGGUGAAAUUCGUAGAUAUCGGGAGGAACACCAGCGGCGAAGGCGGCGAUCUGGGAAGAUACUGACGCUGAGGUGCGAAAGCGUGGGGAGCAAACAGGGAU
rnacentral:rRNA from 1 species